UCCCAAUACUAAACCUACAACCUUUUAUUCCCUACUUAAAACCUGUUGAGACACAAAGAAAGAGAAGAAGAGGAACGAACAGAAGCAGAAGGGGGCGAGAAAUCAGAAAAGGAAAAAAAACAGAGUGUUUCCUUCUUCCUCUUAAAGAAAAUCACAGCAGCCAUACACGAUUCAAAUACCAUGUUUCUUCAUAAUUUCACCAUGUAAAGCACAACAAAACAAAGGGGUUUGGGGGGAUUAUAUUUCUCCUAGAAAGCUCACUGCUUACCCUUAAACCAACAUCCUCCAACAAACAUCGUUGUUUUCUACCUCUGUUUUUCAUCUUUGUUGAAUUACCGGCAGUCGACCAGGAUCCAUAGCCAUCGCCAUAGAUCUCCAUCACAGCUUCAUCUCAACGUCGAAAAUAAUCGUGCUCCACUAUCCUUUACCAAAGCUCUGUUCAAUUGCUUUGAAUUACCAAGUUCUACCGGUUUCAGUUGGGGUUUUCCCAUCGAGGUCGAGUUCGACUUCCGGUCAAGAGGUUAAUUGUUCGUGGUUUUUAGCCCAGCUAGGUGUCAUGUUCGCUGGUCUUAGUAGAGGUACGUCGAGGUCUUCGGUCUUUGCUCAAUUCCUGGACAGAGUCCAUUCUUUUACAGUUUUUGGGUUGGAAGCACUUUGAAAGUUCCAUUAAUUUCCCUAAUCAUUUUUUCUCUUAAUGCUACGCUUUUGUGGCAUUUAAUUUGAUAAUCUGAAUCUUCUUGAUGUUUGAUUAUUAGAUGAGAUAUAUUUUCACUUAGUAACUAUUUUGAUUAUUUAAUUUGGAUAAUUAUCCUUUGUUUGCACAAAAACUAACCAAAAGUUAUGUGGGUAUUAUUCAUUAAUUGAGCUCAAUCAAUUGGGCUUAUAAGAAAUGGAUCGCGGGAUUGGUUUAAAAGUGAAACUUAGUGUUGGAUUUGAUAUGUUUUUUAUUGCUUUACAUUAUCUAUUUAAAGUCGUUAAGGGCAUGCUUAAGCAAUCAAUACCCUGGUAGGCAUCUUUUAGGACGCCCUUCUUUUUUUAGGCUUCUAAGGAAAAAAGGUGUUCCCUUAGUUAUUAUUUUAUUCAGGGGGUGUCUAGUAAAUUUUGUAUAUAUUUUUAUUCGCGAUAUGCCCUAUAAUAAUUAUAAUUGGAGAUCAUGGCGAACGUCGCAUAGGAAGCAUAAGAAUAGGGUAGCGUCGGACUUUUAGAACCUUUUUUUCGUUUUCCUUUCCUUUUUAUUAAAUUUUCUUUUAUUAGGUGGGGACAACCUUGAGCCUUUUUUGUAUUUAUUUUUAUUUUUGUGUGUUAUGUCUCAAUUAGAAUAUUUUUAUAGCCAACUAACUCACAUAUGCAAUCGUGAUUUUCACGAGAUUCAGGGAAUACCUAACAUUUUUUUUCGGGUCAAAUGAAUCCCCUUACUUAGAAUUUUUGAUGUAGUUAGUUUUAUAGUCAAAUGUGUUUUAAAGGAUUUUUUUUUAAAAAAAAGCGUACCUGGCUCACUGAAUCAAAUGUCAGGUGGCAACCAUGAAAAAUCCUUCGAAACACAACUGUUGUCACUUUCGAAUUUGAAAACCCUUUUGAGCUUCAAAAUUACUCUAUAUUUUUAAAGAGGGUUAAGGUGAAAAAAAGGAUAUGACAACUUUGCUACUUUGCCGCGGGGUUAUAGAUUCGAACUUGUACUUGAUCUUGUUGUCUUUAUAGAAUAUUGUAUUGAGGUGCAUGAUUUCUUUAUCUUCUUUUUUUAUUUGGUUUGUUUGUUUUAUUUCCUAUUUUUGGUUGUUUAUUUGAUUAUUGUUUUUUUCUUAUGUGUUUACUGUUUUAUAAACUGUCAAUAUUCUCAUAACCAUGUGUCUUCUUUCUGUAACAAGUCUUCUAGAGUACGUUUGAGCAUACAUGAUCUUUUUAUGAGUCAUCCGUGUCUUUAGGGUGGUGACGUGGGAGUGUGGAGUGGGCGGACAACUAGAAUAGCCGCCAUCGACCACAUGCCGUGCAAAAUUUCCUUGUCUAGUGAACCCCAAACUUAGGUCAUCCUUUAAGUAAUUCUUAUUUGAAUCAUUUCAUUUAAACCUAACAAGGCUCGGUCCCAAGCACUGUGUCCCUUUUUAGGAGGCUUAUCCAAAUUAUGUCAAAAUCUGCUCGUGGCCCAAAAAGACAUUUAAUCAUACCUAUGUGUUACAUGAUGCAUUCUUUAAGGGUAAAGGGUUAUUUGGAGGACCAAUGAUGGUUGAGGGCAAAUGAGAAAGAAAAGAAGGUGAAGUACAAAAAUAAAACUAGUAAAGGCUAAUUAUACUUUUCUUUAACAACUUUUUCAAAAAAAAAUUUAACAAGAUGUUCUCUCAUUUUUAGGUCUAUUCCUGUUGAAUUUGCAUGAUUAGCCAUUUUCUGGCCAUAUAAGUCGUUUUUGCAAAGUGAGGUCACUUUUGCAAUGUAAUUUUGGAGACCUUGAUUCCUAAGAGAUUGGGGGCUACAUAGGCCCUUGUGAGGUGUUUUCCAUUCUUAGAGGUCAGCCUAAUUGAGUUAACACUUCUAGCCACUCUUGACCACAUAAGUAAUUUGCAAAAAUAGCCCCAAUCAUCUCUUGCAUGCGUCCAAUAGGUAGUGUUAUGGCUCACAUAUUAUUUUGAGUCACUAACUAUGUUUGGUGUUAUUCUUCUCAUUCAGGUAUGCAUCCACUUAAUAGAGCUUGAGCAUGGCAAACGUCCCAAGACCAUCUUAGUCAGUACCAUUUCUUUUAGGAGUUGCUUGAGAAGAUUUUUUAUAUUUUGAGUCUGUUUUUUCUUUUAUUUCAUAAGUCUUGUCCAAUAUCAUUGAUUAUUUUAGGUGAUGUCAUAGUUUGUCGUAAUCUAGUUGAGUUUGUCGAAUCUUUUGUUAUCGUACUUCCUAUGAUGUAUUUGAAAAUAAAAAAAUUGUUAUAAAUGAAAAAUCUAAAAAAAAUUUAGUUUUAGUUUAGUAUGUCCAUUACUUUUCCAGAACUACGCUUGGU
rnacentral:lncRNA from 1 species